rnacentral:rRNA from 1 species
GAUGAACGCUAGCUACAGGCUUAACACAUGCAAGUCGAGGGGAAACGAUAUUGGAAGCUUGCUUCCGAUAGGCGUCGACCGGCGCACGGGUGAGUAACGCGUAUCCAACCUGCCCAUCACUUGGGGAUAACCUUGCGAAAGUAAGACUAAUACCCAAUGAUAUCUCUAGAAGACAUCUGAAAGGGAUUAAAGAUUUAUCGGUGAUGGAUGGGGAUGCGUCUGAUUAGCUUGUUGGCGGGGUAACGGCCCACCAAGGCGACGAUCAGUAGGGGUUCUGAGAGGAAGGUCCCCCACAUUGGAACUGAGACACGGUCCAAACUCCUACGGGAGGCAGCAGUGAGGAAUAUUGGUCAAUGGACGAGAGUCUGAACCAGCCAAGUAGCGUGCAGGAUGGCGGCCCUAUGGGUUGUAAACUGCUUUUAUAAGGGAAUAAAGUGAGCCUCGUGAGGCUUUUUGCAUGUACCUUAUGAAUAAGGACCGGCUAAUUCCGUGCCAGCAGCCGCAGUAA